rnacentral:rRNA from 1 species
AGCGAACGCUGGCGGCAGGCCUAACACAUGCAAGUCGAGCGUCCCGCAAGGGGAGCGGCAGACGGGAGAGUAACACGUGGGAACGUACCCUUCGGUUCGGAACAACCCAGGGAAACUUGGGCUAAUACCGGAUACGUCCGGAAGGAGAAAGAUUUAUCGCCGGGGGAUCGGCCCGCGUCUGAUUAGCUGGUUGGUGGGGUAACGGCCCACCAAGGCGACGAUCAGUAGCUGGUCUGAGAGGAUGAUCAGCCUCACUGGGACUGAGACAUGGCCCAGACUCCUACGGGAGGCAGCAGUGGGGAAUAUUGGACAAUGGGCGCAAGCCUGAUCCAGCCAUGCCGCGUGGGUGAUGAAGGCCCUAGGGUUGUAAAGCCCUUUCGGCGGGGAAGACAAUGACGGUACCCGCAGAAGAAGCCCCGGCUAACUUCGUGCCAGCCGCCGCGGUAA